rnacentral:lncRNA from 10 species
AUAAUAAAAGGUAGAUGAUCCUGGGUGGGCCUGGCUUAAUCAGGUGAAAGCCACGAAGGAAGGGACUGGGCCUUCCUAAAUAGAGAGAGCACCUCCUGCUGGCCAUGGGGCAGAAAGCCAUGCUGUGAGGGGAGGGGCGGUUUCUAGGAGCCGAGGAUCCCAGUGCCAUAGCAGCAAGGACCAAAUUCUGCCAACAACCUGAACACGCUCGGAAGAUGACCCCAAGCUCCAGAUGCAAACAUAGCCUAGACAAUACCUGGCUGCAGCCUGGUGACACCCAGAGGGAAGGACCCUGUUAAGCCAUACCCAGACUGUGAGCCAUGGACACAGAGAUAGGGAAUGUGUGUUGUCUGAAGCUGCCAGGUGGUAGUGAUUUGCUAGGCAACAUAGGACAUAAGUAAGACACUCUGUAACCGGAAUCUCUCUGAGCCCCCAUUUCUUCAUUUGUAAAACAAGGCUGUAUUGGGGACUCAAGGAGGUAAGUCAUCUAAAGUGCUCAGAACAGGGCCCAGAACUAGUGAGCUCCAAGAAGCACCAGCUGUGCAUUAAGAGGCAAUGUCGGGACCGGGUGCAGUGGCUCACGCCUGUAAUCCCAAGCACCCUGGGAGGCCGAGGUGGGUGGAUCAUCUGAGGUUAUGAGUUCCAGCCUGGCCAACAUGGCAAAACCCUGUCUCCACUAAAAUAUAGAAAUUAGCCGGGCGUGGUGUCAGAUGCCUGUAAUCCCAGCUACUCCUGAGGCAGGGAAAAUUGCUUGAACCCAGGAGGUGGAGGUUGCAGUAAGCCAAGAUUGCGCCACUGCACUCCAGCCUGGGUGACACAGAAGACUCUGUCUGAAAAAAAAAAAAAAGAAAGAAAGAAAGAAAAGAAAGAAAAGAAAAAAGCCAAUAUUGAUACCAUGUGCUACAGAGGGCCUCACAAGCGGGGCUAGGAAGGCACACAGACCUCACCCAGACCUGAGCACCAAGCCUUUCUGGAGGAGGGGACAGGAAAGAUUGUUAGACAUUGGCAGGAAAUGGCCAGACAUGGUGGCUCAUGCCUGUAAUCCCAGCGCUUUGGGAGGCUAAGGCGAGAGGAUUGCUUGAGCCCAGGAGUUAAAGGCCAGCCUGGGCAAAACAUAGUGAGACCCUGGUCCCUACGCAAAUUUUUUUUUUUUUUUGAGAUAGAGUCUUGCUCUAUUGCCCAGGCUGGAGAGCAGUGGCAGGAUCUCAGCUCACUGCAACCCCCCACCGUCUUCUGGGUUCAAGCAAUUCUCCUGCCUCAGCCUCCCGAGUAGCUGGGACUACAGGCACACGCCACCACGCCCAGCUAAUUUUUGUAUUUUUAGUAGAAACGGGGUUUCACCGUGUUGGCCAGGAUGAUCUCCAACUCUUGACCUUGUGAGCCACCCAUUUCCACCUCCCAAAGUGCUGGGAUUACAGGCGUGAGCCACCACGCCCGGCCACAAUUUUUUUUUUUAAUCAUGAUAAUAAUGGCCCAUGCCUGUUGUCCUAGCUACUCAGGAGGCUGGGGCAGGAGGAUCACUUGAACCCAGGAGUUCAAGGCUGCAGUGAGCUAUGAUCGUGCUACUGCACUUCAGCUUGGGUGACAGAGCAAAACCCCCCCACUCUAAAAAUACUAAUAAAAGGCAGAAAAGAGGAAAAGGGGCAUGCCAGGAAAAAGCAGCAGCCUGGGCAAAAGACUUCAAGGUGAGACAGAACAGGAAACGUUUCAGAAAAGUCAAACAGGCCAGGCGAGGUGGCUUGCACCUGUAAUCCCAGCACUUUGGGAGGCCGAGGUGGGAACAUCACUUGAGCCCAGGAGUUGGAGACCAGCCUGGGCAACAUAGCAAGACCCUGUCCCUAUUGAAAGAAAAGAAAAGAAAAGUCAAAUAAUUUACAAUAGCCAGAAGGUAGAGGCCAGAGACGCUAAGAAUUAAGCCUGACUGAUGAGCCAGGGCCGGAUCCAGAGGGGUCACGAAUGCCUUGCUAAGGCAUUUGGACUUUAUCACUCAGGCACGAUACUUUCAUACACAGAAGCAAGGGCACGGUGGUGGGAUGGUGCCUACACUACCACCAGCCACCCACCAGAAGAAAAGUGGGACGAGGCCAGGCAGAAUCAUGAAAACUCAGAACUGGCCUCCACGCCCCUUCCCCUCAAAGCUUCGGCUUG